GGCCUAAUACAUGCAAGUCGAACGGGCCGCAAGGCCAGUGGCAAACGGGUGCGUAACGCGUAAGCAACCUGCCUCAUACUGGGGGAUAGCCCGGCGAAAGCUGGGGUAAACCCGCACGGUCCCACGAGAUCACCUGGUUUUGUGGGUAAACAUUUAUGGGUAUGAGAGGGGCUUGCGUCUGAUUAGUUAGUUGGCAGGGUAACGGCCUACCAAGACGAUGAUCAGUAGGGGUUCUGAGAGGAUUGGCCCCCACAUGGGUACUGAGAUACGGACCCAACUCCUACGGGAGGCAGCAGUAGGGAAUAUUGGGCAAUGGACGCAAGUCUGACCCAGCCAUGCCGCGUGCAGGAUGAAGGCGCUCAGCGUUGUAAACUGCUUUUAUUGGUGAAGAACUGUAGUCCUGCGGGAUUACUUGACGGUAGCCAAGGAAUAAGCACCGGCUAACUCCGUGCCAGCAGCCGCGGUAAUACGGAGGGUGCAAGCGUUGUCCGGAUUUAUUGGGUUUAAAGGGUGCGUAGGUGGUCAUUUAAGUCUGGUUUGAAAGCAGGCGGCUUAACCGUCUGAUGUGGCUGGAAACUGAAUGACUUGAAUGGGUUGGCGGUAGCCGGAACGGGUCAUGUAGCGGUGAAAUGCAUAGAUAUGACCCAGAACACCGAUUGCGAAGGCAGGCUACUACGACUUGAUUGACACUGAGGCACGAGAGCAUGGGUAGCGAACAGGAUU
rnacentral:rRNA from 1 species